GCUGAUUACCAACACAGUUUGAAUCUACUUAUUACAAAUGUUGCAUACAAAAGUAUAUUGGCAGUGUGUAGACAAUCAUAAGCCAAAACAUUCAGAAACAAUAAUCUUCAGUUUUACUGUUCUGCGAGGGUUGAGUACAAUUAAUAAAACAAACUUUUGAGGUA
ensembl:lncRNA novel transcript, antisense to PTGR2